GACGAACGCUGGCGGCGUGCUUAACACAUGCAAGUCGAGCGGUAAGGCCCUUUCGGGGGUACACGAGCGGCGAACGGGUGAGUAACACGUGGGUGACCUGCCCUCAGCUCUGGGAUAAGCCUGGGAAACUGGGGUCUAAUACCGGAUAUGACUCCAUGACGCAUGGUUGUGGGGUGGAAAGCCUUGUGCGGCUGGGGAUGGGCCCGCGGCCUAUCAGCUUGUUGGUGGGGUGAUGGCCUACCAAGGCGACGACGGGUAGCCGGCCUGAGGGGGCGACCGGCCACACUGGGACUGAGACACGGCCCAGACUCCUACGGGAGGCAGCAGUGGGGAAUCUUGGCGCAAUGGGCGAAAGCCUGACGCAGCGACGCCGCGUGAGGGAUGACGGCCU
rnacentral:rRNA from 1 species